GAUGAACGCUAGCUACAGGCUUAACACAUGCAAGUCGAGGGGAAACGACAUCGAAAGCUUGCUUUUGAUGGGCGUCGACCGGCGCACGGGUGAGUAACGCGUAUCCAACCUGCCCACCACUUGGGGAUAACCUUGCGAAAGUAAGACUAAUACCCAAUGACGUCUCUAGAAGACAUCUGAAGGAGAUUAAAGAUUUAUCGGUGAUGGAUGGGGAUGCGUCUGAUUAGCUUGUUGGCGGGGUAACGGCCCACCAAGGCAACGAUCAGUAGGGGUUCUGAGAGGAAGGUCCCCCACAUUGGAACUGAGACACGGUCCAAACUCCUACGGGAGGCAGCAGUGAGGAAUAUUGGUCAAUGGACGAGAGUCUGAACCAGCCAAGUAGCGUGCAGGAUGACGGCCCUAUGGGUUGUAAACUGCUUUUAUAAGGGAAUAAAGUGAGUCUCGUGAGACUUUUUGCAUGUACCUUAUGAAUAAGGACCGGCUAAUUCCGUGCCAGCAGCCGCGGUAAUACGGAAGGUCCGGGCGUUAUCCGGAUUUAUUGGGUUUAAAGGGAGCGUAGGCCGGAGAUUAAGCGUGUUGUGAAAUGUAGAUGCUCAACAUCUGCACUGCAGCGCGAACUGGUUUCCUUGAGUACGCACAAAGUGGGCGGAAUUCGUGGUGUAGCGGUGAAAUGCUUAGAUAUCACGAAGAACUCCGAUUGCGAAGGCAGCUCACUGGAGCGCAACUGACGCUGAAGCUCGAAAGUGCGGGUAUCGAACAGGAUUAGAUACCCUGGUAGUCCGCACGGUAAACGAUGGAUGCCCGCUGUUGGUCUGAAUAGGUCAGCGGCCAAGCGAAAGCAUUAAGCAUCCCACCUGGGGAGUACGCCGGCAACGGUGAAACUCAAAGGAAUUGACGGAAGG
rnacentral:rRNA from 1 species